CUUCCUCCGUCUACAAGAUCGCUUCCGGCGUCACUACCGUACGAAUCAACUCUUCCGCGAGAGAUUCACCACUAAACCCCUCCCACUGAUCAAAAGAAGCUCCUUUGGUCUCCCUCAAGAAAGAUUAACCAACGAAGCCAGGCUUUGUCUUACGGUGCGGCCGGGAUGUUGAGCCGGAGUGGAAGCGAGGAUUGUGGUGGCGCGGUGGUUGAUUGGUUGCUGGAGAUGGUGGCAACAACACAGACAGUCUUCAAACCCAGUUGUCAUCUCUAAAUACGAAACCUGUAAGGUUUCACAGCACUGGGCAAACAAACACACACUCGUAGAAAAAGAUAUAAGCUUUUGUGUAUCUUUGGAGUUUCCGAGCCAUCUUUAAACGAGAAAGAAAGUAGAGAUUGCAGGAUUUGUCAUCUUCCUUUCCAGAAGAUGGUUCUAAUGAAUAAGAAGAAGACGAAGAAAAAGCAAGAGACGGUGAAGAUGAAGAAGAAGAAGAGCAAUUGGGUUUCCUUUGCAAAUUGGGUUGUUCAAGAUCAAAGAAACAUGACAUGUGAGAUAUGUGGAGCAACGGCUAUAAACGUUGCCGGCGAACAGUCAAACCAAGAGAGCAAUGCCUCUGCCCAUUCACAAACAACUGCAGGACAAACUCAGACAGACAUACGGGGAACCUGGCAUGGUCGCUGUGUUAUGAACUUCUUACUUGCCGUUAUGAUCUUUGCCUUCAUUGUUACUUGUUUUUUUUUUAACUAGGUUCUUAAUUACAUUUAACUAGGAUGUGGACCCCGCGAAAUUGCGGGGAAAGUUAAUAUUAAGUUUUCAAUAUUAA